rnacentral:miRNA from 1 species
CUUUCAGUCUGAUGUUUGC